GGAUGUGAGGGUGAUCUGGCUGUGACAUCUGUCACCCCAUUGAUUGCCAGGGUUGAAUCAACUGAUCUGGCUGGCUAGAUAGGUGUCCCUUUCCUCCCUCACUGCUCUAUGUGCAGCCCACCCAAAGGUGCACGCUUGGUGGAAAAGGAUGACCAUCCCAGAUAGAAGGAGUGUCGCGUUCUUCAGUCAAGAGUAUACAAUAGCUGCACUCUUCUGCUAGAACCUCCAAAAAAAGCUCAAUGUCCAUUUGUAGGAGAACAUAGGGUAGUCAAGCUUCCAAGACUCCAGACAUAUCCAAGUAAGGUGCUGCAUAUAGCAGUUUGCUCCGUCAAUU